AAUAGGGAACUCGGCGCGCCUUCACAUGCAAGAACGGGGGCAGCAUAAUUAUUCGCAAGAAUAAUGGUGGCGACCGGCGCACGGGUGCGUAACGCGUAUGCAACCUACCUUUUACUGGGGUAUAGCCCGGAGAAAUCCGGAUUAAUCCCCCAUAGUACUGACAAUUCGCAUGAUGAGUCAGUUAAAGUUUCGGCGGUAAAAGAUGGGCAUGCGUCCUAUUAGCUAGAUGGUAAGGUAAUGGCUUACCAUGGCUACGAUAGGUAGGGGGCCUGAGAGGGUGGUCCCCCACACUGGUACUGAGACACGGACCAGACUCCUACGGGAGGCAGCAGUGAGGAAUAUUGGUCAAUGGGCGCAAGCCUGAACCAGCCAUGCCGCGUGCAGGAAGAAUGUCCUAUGGAUUGUAAACUGCUUUUAUUUGGGAAUAAACCCCCCGACGUGUCGGGGUCUGAAGGUAC
rnacentral:rRNA from 1 species